CAGCAGCCGCGGGAAUACGUAGGUGGCAAGCGUUGUCCGGAAUCAUUGGGCGUAAAGGGCUCGCAGGCGGUUUCUUAAGUCUGAUGUGAAAGCCCCCGGCUCAACCGGGGAGGGUCAUUGGAAACUGGGAAACUUGAGUGCAGAAGAGGAGAGUGGAAUUCCACGUGUAGCGGUGAAAUGCGUAGAGAUGUGGAGGAACACCAGUGGCGAAGGCGACUCUCUGGUCUGUAACUGACGCUGAGGAGCGAAAGCGUGGGGAGCGAACAGGAUUAGAUACCCGCGUAGUCCCUGUCUCUUAUAC
rnacentral:rRNA from 1 species